AUCGUUUCUGAGCAACCCCGCUGAUAAAAGCUACAGACAGAUGCCAUUGUCAGAUGAAGUCUACCUCUUCAAUAGUAUAGAUGCAUGAUGCACAUGCUACCCAGUGUCAAAGUACAGCAAGGUCUUCCCCAUCAACAGCUGGGGCAGUCAUCAGACAGCGAGGGUUGUCAGCUCCACAGAGAUUUACUCAUCAACCAAGUAGAUGUCAGAGACCUGCAGUUGAUGAGUUUCCUAACCGUUAACAUUGAAUCAGAUGGUGUCUACCUGUCACACAUUUCCGAGACCUGCAACUACGUGUAGUCAGCCCACUGUCUACAUAUCACCUGUUUAUAUGUGUGAGGGUUACGCAAGAGGAAGGUAAAAUACCUGUGCUUGUUUUACACUAACAUCAAAGGGUGGUCUGUUUUUGCAGCACUCAUGCCAACAGAAUAUCUCGUCACAUACCACAACAUUUUUGGGGAUGAAAUGCUGGCACCAGCCUAACCCGAAAUGAGAGGUCUGUCCCUACAGAUUGAUUACAGAUUUAAAAGAUAGGAAACAUGUUUUUGAUUAACAAAA